rnacentral:rRNA from 1 species
GACGAACCGUGCGAACGUUAUUCGGAAUCACUGGGCUUAAAGCGCGUGUAGGCGGGUGGGAACGUCGGCCGCUGAAAUCCCCCGGCUCAACCGGGGGAAGGGGCGCCGAAACGGCCCGCCUGGAGGGACGUAGGGGGAGCUGGAACUUCCGGUGGAGCGGUGAAAUGCGUUGAGAUCGGAAGGAACGCCCGUGGCGAAAGCGAGCUCCUGGACGUUUUCUGACGCUGAGACGCGAAAGCCAGGGGAGCGAACGGG